UGAGGAAUCUUGCGCAAUGGGGGCAACCCUGACGCAGCAACGCCGCGUGAGUGAGGAAGGUCUUCGGAUCGUAAAGCUCUGUCAGUUGGGAAGAAUGUCCCGGGACUGAACAGGUUUUGGGAGUGACGGUACCACCAGAGGAAGCACCGGCUAACUCCGUGCCAGCAGCCGCGGUAAUACGGAGGAUGCGAGCGUUAUCCGGAUUCAUUGGGUUUAAAGGGUGCGUAGGCGGACUAUUAAGUCAGUGGUGAAAUCCUGCAGCUUAACUGCAGAACUGCCAUUGAUACUGAUAGCCUUGAGUUUGGUUAAGGUAGGCGGAAUGUGUAAUGUAGCGGUGAAAUGCUUAGAUAUUACACAGAACACCAAUUGCGUAGGCAGCUUACUGAGCCGACACUGACGCUGAGGCACGAAAGCGUGGGGAUCGAACA
rnacentral:rRNA from 1 species